UUUAGGCAAUAUUUAUAUAAAAGCACCGGCUUAGUGUCCUGGUUUGUAAUGCAUUGCCUACCACAUGAGAACAAGGCAAGUAAAGAAAAGGAGAAGAAUAAUGCUUCCAAGUCGCCCAACAUCACUUCUUUAUACAAAGAAAAAAGAAAAAAAGAAAGAUAGCAGUUCUAUAAAAGUACCAUGGAGGGAACUUUCCACCUCGCUCAAGGAGAAAGUUGUAGGAGACUUGAGUGGUAGUAGGAGUGGAUGAGGAACUCCAAUUGGUUGGACUGGAGGAAGAGGUGGCAUGGACGAGAGAACAAAAUAGAGUGAGAGGGGGUGAAAGGCAUCUACGGAGAAGCAAAAUAAAUAAAGAGGGAGGAGGGUGAGGUGCUAGAAGGUGAUAGGUGAGAUGCUGCACUCAUGUAGAAUGUAGGAAUUAGAAGAUACUGAGGGAGAGA
rnacentral:lncRNA from 1 species